GCGCGCUACACUGAUGCAUGCAUCGAGCCUAGCCUUGGCCGAGAGGCCCGGGUAAUCUUGGAAACUGCAUCGUGAUGGUGUCUAGAUCAUUGCAAUUCUUGGUCUUCAACGAGGAAUGCCUAGUAAGCGCGAGUCAUCAGCUCGCGCUGACUACGUCCCUGCCCUUUGUACACACCGCCCGUCGCUCCUACCGAUUGAAUGUGCUGGUGAAAUGCUGGGAUCGGUGGCAGUCGGUGGUCCGCCACCCGUUGCCGCUGAGAACAGCAUUGAACCCUCCCAUUUAGAGGAAGGAGAAGUCGUAACAAGGUUUCCGUAGGUGAACCUGCGGAAGGAUCAUUG
rnacentral:rRNA from 1 species